GGUGGCACUGACACCAGCCAUGGUGUCCCGAUUGGCCAGCUCUGGUGGCUUCUCCUUAACGCGGCUGUCUUUGGCAUGGCCUUGGGACGACGGCAAGCCUACGACAGCAGUAGUAGUAGCAGCAGACCAAGCAUGAAUUUUGCAAUGACCUUUGUGUGCACUAUUGUUCUGGAGCUGGUGUACUACCCAAAGCUGUCGUUGCCCGGCUUCUUAAUUUGUGGGUUCAUCUUGUGGAUCGCCAGCAGGGAGCUGACUCCUUCAGGAUAUGUUGAGCUUGGGAGCACUGACGAGUCGGUGUAUGAGGCUGUCAUGGGGCCAGUCCGGCAUAUCCUUAGUGAACGCAAGUCCAGGAAGAUUGCUACUUUUCUGUUGAUCAAUACAGCUUACAUGUUUGUUGAGUUUGCCAGUGGUUUCAUGAGCAAUAGCCUUGGGCUGCUCUCUGACGCUUGCUAUAUGUUGUUUGAUUCUGCUGCUCUGGCAAUUGGACUAUAUGCAUCGUACAUCGCGAGGCUGCCUGCAAAUGGAUUGUAUAACUAUGGAAGGGGCAGGUUCGAGGUGCUAUCUGGGUAUGUUAAUGCAGUGUUCUUGGUACUUGUUGGGGCACUGAUUGUGUUGCAGUCGUUCGAGAGGAUACUCGAGCCUCGAGAGAUAUCAACAAGUAGCCUUUUGGCAGUUUCUGUUGGUGGACUUUUCGUAAAUAUCAUUGGAUUGGUUUUCUUUCAUGAGGAGCACCAUCAUGCGCAUGGCGGUAGCUGCUCUCACUCCCAUUCACAUUCCCAUUCUCGUUCACAUGAUCAUGGUCAUGAAGAUCACCAUCAUGAUCAUGGUCAUGAAGAUCACCAUCACCAUCAUGACCAUGUUCAUCAGAGUGCUGAUCACGAGAAGACAUGUUCUGGUCAUCAUGGAGACACAAAUAAGAGCCAUCAUCAUAAUCACCGACAUGAUAGUAACAAUGCAGAGAAUCAUCAUCAACAUAACCAUAGUUGUAGCCACAAGCAUGGUCACAAUGGCCAUGUGGAACAUCACCAGCAGGGUGUAGAUCAGGCUCAUCAAGAUUGUCGCAGCAUCAACGGUGAGAAAGGACUUCUAGAGAUUCCACUGAUAAAUGUGCACUCUCAUGGUGCAGAAUCUCAGUCUUGUAAUGGAGAAGUGGAAUCGUCAGAAAUCGGAAACCAUGCCAAGCCAGCAAGCCGGCGUCACAUUGACCAUAACAUGGAAGGUAUCUUCUUACAUGUCCUAGCUGACACAAUGGGAAGCGUCGGUGUUGUGAUCUCGACCCUACUAAUUAAGUACAAGGGAUGGCUAAUAGCAGAUCCCAUUUGCUCUGUAUUCAUUUCAAUAAUGAUUGUGGCUUCUGUCCUUCCAUUGUUGAGAAAUUCUGCUGAAAUUUUGUUGCAAAGAGUUAGGAGCCAUGAGAAGGACUUUGAAGCAGCACUGGAUGAUGUUAAGAAGAUUAAUGGUGUGAUUGGAGUCCAUAAUGUUCAUUUAUGGAACUUGACAAACACCGAUAUUGUAGGCACUUUUCAUCUUCAUAUAUCAGCUGAAGCUGACAAGUCUGUUAUAAGAGAAAGUGCUUCACGGAUAUUUCAAGAAGCUGGGGUUCAAGAUCUGACUAUCCAGAUUGAAUGUGUCGAAAGAUAG
rnacentral:rRNA from 1 species